rnacentral:rRNA from 1 species
GACGGGGGGGGCAAGUGUUCUUCGGAAUGACUGGGCGUAAAGGGCACGUAGGCGGUGAAUCGUAUUUUCUUCCUCAGGGAUAAGAUAAUCGAAUAGGUUGAAAGUGAAAGUCGCCAAAAACUGGCGGAAUGCUCUCGAAACCAAUUCACUUGGGUGAGACAGAGGAGAGUGGAAUUUCGUGUGUAGGGGUGAAAUCCGCAAAUCUACGAAGGAACGCCAAAAGCGAAGGCAGCUCUCUGGGUCCCUACCGACGCUGGGGUGCGAAAGCAUGGGGAGCGAACAGG